AACGGACCUUUUUUCGUUUCUGUCUCUUACUGAUUUUACUUUCUUGUUAUUCUACAUAUAAAACGAAAAUCAAAGCAUUUUAAAAAAAAAUCGUAUAUCCCUUUUUGAUCAUGAAAAGGAAAAACGCCUUGUAUUUCAAUUUUAAUUUUUGUAUUUUAAAACGAAAAUCAAAUAACCACUCGUUUUUUCUUUUUCAAUACCCGUUUCAGAACGGAAAAUCCAAUUACCAGAUCACACAUCUUUGACACACUUCCACACAUUAGUUGAGGAGUCGCGAAAACCUGGUCGCGCCAAACUAUUUUACAUCUGGCGUGAAGCUCUCCAGCAAACUACAGCGUCGGAUGAAGAGUCCAGCCACUCGUCUGGCCCGGAUUCUGCCACCAGCGCGGAUGAAGCCGAUCUUAUCGAAGGAAUUGAUCAUUCCAGUGACAUCAUUUACAAUGUUGGGAAGGAGGAGGAGGAGGAAGAGGAGAGAAUGGAGGUCUCCUGCUGUCCUGGUACCCAGCGAGAGGUAGAGGGACAGACCGUCCUCCAGCCAGGAGACGCUGCAGCAGCCGCUCCACCAGCGAGCGCUCCGGGCCAGAGGCGCUCCCUACAGCUGGCUGGAAAACUGAGAAGGAACCUGACAGCUUACCUUCUCUGCCACAUUUCCUGCCGAAAAGGAGGCCAGGUGUCCAGCCACCUCUGUCAGAAUAUGUGGACAGCCCUUCUCCAUCAGACCUGUCCAAGUAUUCGGACCAGGAGACCAUCAAAAUACUGUUUCUGAUUCAACUCAGUAAAAACGAUUUUCUUUUAUUUUCAAAUGCACUUUUUAUGGUCUGACCAUGGUUUUGUACAUAAAGUAUGUGUGUUCAUAAGUAUCUGGCACAUUUAGAAAUUUGAUUGCGCUAUUGUAAAUAAUUUGUUUUGAUGUCUCUUUGCAAAUUUUGCAGUUUUGUUUAUUUUCGUUUUUUUUUUUUACAGGUUACAAAAUUGACCAUAUCUCAAAAAGCAAAUUAUGUACAGACUCCAAAUAAAUUUCCUGUGGUUCCAAA